GGAGAUGUGGCUCAGUUGGUAGAGUGCUUGCCGUGCAUGUACAAGAACCUGGGUUCAAUCCCCCAGCACCACCA
rnacentral:tRNA from 1 species